UGAGCACAAAAAAUUUGGAUGCCUAAACUUUUAAAUACAAUACUAAAUGCAUAUGUGUUUGUUUGGCAAUGAAUCAUGAGGGAUUUACCUAUUCUAAGAUUCUUUAAUAAAGAAGAGCAUUUACAUUAUAUUUCCAAGUGGUUAAUGGCCUGAUGAGAUUUUCCUAAUGUUGAUGAGUGAAACAACCAAAAAUGUAUAACUUAGCUGUCAAUCAGACUCACCAAGGGGGCAGGUCCUCUCACAACUCUACCUUGAUCGUUGUAUUGGGAUCCAUGGCAGGGGCAUAUGAACUUGUUCUCGGCUUGAUUCCACGGAACAACACACCCAAGGUGUGUGCAUACAGCAUUUAUACCAUAUGUUGCAAGAGUUCUGUCUUUCUCUACCACUAGGUAGGUUGGGUCUCCCUGAAAGUAAACAAAAUCCAUUUUUAGUAUCAACUUUCAUAAUGCAGUUACUGCUACUGCUCUCGUUCAUGCUUUCUCAUGCCUAACAUUAGCAAGAGACAAAUAACCUAAACAUAAAAAAAGAUUGAGCUCAACCAAUGGCAAGCAUAGCUCAUAAGUCACUGUUGACCGCCAAAACUUUGCAUUGUAAGAACUUACAUGGCAAACAAUUUCCUAGAGGAAACCAGAGCUCUUCGAGAUUUCAUGUUGAAUGCUCUUAGGAUGGUCGGAAACAUUCAAUUAGAACAAACUGUAAUUAACAUGUGUACUUACCUUCAAUCCUUGAGUCAGGGUUCGGUCCCCAGGGCCAUGAGUCUUGAGCCAUUCUUCAGCAAUUACAUCGUUUCCGAUUGCGUCCUUGGCAACGGUGCCACCACCGGUACCCCGUCCCCUGGUAAUAAAGGUUUAAUACAAACAGUGAUAAACGACAAUGAGAUAACCUAUCAAAUAAAGCCAAAUCUUUUAAAUGAAAAUUCAUCAACCACUUAAUUAGGGAAAAUAACAUGGUUUAUAAUUUUAAUAUUUGAUGACAGUUAGUUGAACAACUAUUUUUCCAUGGUUUCAGAACAUGCUUAUAAUUGAUAAAAUAAAGGACCAAUUCUAUAUUUACUACCAUCAUAUUGCAGAUAACUUAAUACUUGACCAAUUUCAUGCUUGUGGUCAUAAUUAACCACGAUCAUGUUGUUCUGCCUAUAAGAAUUAGAUGCAUCAUUUAGAAAGAGGAGGAGAAGUUACCCAGAUGGGACAAAGAAGGCUGCAUAAGGAACCAACAUGAAACCUGAGGGGAGUGAAAUAGCCCCCAACAGAAGCAGAUUCAUGAGCUGCCUCUUGCCCAUGUCUGGCACUCUAUCAGCAGGGAUGCUAGUGGCCUGGCAUGUGAUCCUCAUUCCCUUUUCGUUUUUGACCAUAUGGGUCCUCGUUGGUUUCACAAGAAACGCUUGUGACGGGCAGAACAUGCCACUCUUGCCGGAGCAUAGCUGUUUCAUACAAGAACACACACAAAAAAGACCUUCAGUAAAAAGUCUUGAAGGAAGAAUUUACAGAGUAAUUUGAAGUACCAAAACGUGUUGGGAUACACCUGCCAAGGAGCUGCAGGGGAGAGAGUUGAGGAAGCCAUGAUAAACAAUAGUUGGGGUUUAGUGGUGAGACGGAUGGCUUGUGUUUUCCAUCCCUUAUUAUGGAGAUGAGUGAUCAAAGCUCUAUCGCCUACCGUAGCAAGAAGAUAAGGCACGUAUGAAGCUAUGGCUGCCACAUAAGCCACAUGUUUGUGGAAUGUGGACAAUGGUUCUUGCUCUUCCUUGCAAGUGGCCUAGCCCAAUCGCACAAAAUUUCUGGACUUUCACAUACUGCAAGGUGAGUUGGGGUCCUGGUCUAACUAAAUGGGCCGAGGUAGCGUAUAUGUUUCUCUCAUCUGCACUGUGUUUGCUUCAUUGUAACACCAUUUCUAUGUGGCCUGCACCCACCUUCCUUUUUCAUUCUUUUUCAGUUCUUGUUUUUUUUCUUUUUUAAAGUUCUCUAUGUUUAGCAGAGACCAGUUUGGGUGGACAAAAUCUUAAUUAAUACAAAUAUAAUAAUACCAAUCAUAUUGGUAUGUAUUAAAUUUUAUUUUUAUAUGUAGGAAACAUAUUAUGUUUUUGUAUCCAUUAAUUGAAAAUCAAUGAGCUCUACCUCUAACCUUGGGUCCUUAAUAAAGAAAGUAGCUUCAACAUAUGCAAGAAAAGCAUGAGUGAAAAGGAUUGGUACGUAAAUUAUAAAUUGGGUGUCCUGCUUCACUUAAAAAAUCAGCCUACAUUAGUUGGUUGUUUGGUCUAUAUUAGGAGUUAAGACUCUUUUAUCUUGUGUUGGCAUUAGAUUUCGGUUGGGGUAAUUAUAUUGAGUCAUGACAGAAAAUGACCCAACAUCUUUGGAUUAUUUUAUAGUACACGAUAGUUUUAAAAUAAUGUUUUUUUAUUACAUUUGUUGUUUAAGGACUUUUUUCCGUCCGGAAGAUGUACGUCUGCCGGAUUAUCACUUGGAUAUAACAGUAUUUAAUCGGUUAAUCGACCCGAAAUAAUAUUAACCGAAUUAACUAACAUUUCAAAAUUUUUAACCGUUAACCGAACCGAAAUAUUUUCAAAAAAAUUAACCAAGCCGAACUUUUUUUAGUUAAUUCGGUCGGUUAACCGAAUUAACAAAAAAUUAUAUGUUUUUUAUUUUUAGUUAAAAAUUAACCAAAUUACCCGAAUUACCCGAAUUAACCGAAUUGAAUCACUACAUAAUUAAAAACAUUACAUAAGUCUUUGAAUCACUAACAUUACAUAAGUCUUGAAAUUAACACAUAAUUGAAAUGUAAGUCUUUAAUAUUCUCUAUUUGUAUCCAUUUCUUCUCUCCAAAAGAUCUGCAUUUGCAUUAAACCUACAAGAAAAAAAACAUGCGCAAAAAAUUAACAUAUAAUAGAAAUAUACGCAUUUAAAAAAAUCAAAUAAUAUAAACAAACGAAUAGAUUAUAAGUUAACAAGAAUAAAAUUUUUAUUUUUAUUUAUUAAAUUAUUUGUAAUUUUUAUGAUUGGGUUGGGUUGGGUACUUGGGUUGGGUUGGAUUUAGGUGAAUAGUGGGCCUAUUUAUAUAUUAUAAUUUUAUUUAUUAAUUUUUUCGGUUAAACCAAAAAAAUUCGGUUAACCGAUCGGUUUCGAACCGAAUUAAACGUUAACCGAAAAAUUAAAAAAUAAUUAAUCGACCCCCGACAGAAAAAAUUCGGUUAACUAACCGAUUAACCAAAUUCGGUCGGUUAACCAAAUUUUUUCGGUUUUACUUGAAUUUUUUACACCCCUAUUUGGAUAGUUGUAUAUAUUAUUAAGAUAAUUUUAUAUUUGGUACCAGGACUUUGACAAAUCUUCUAAUGUGGUACCUGGUACUUAAGGGUGUUCAAUCGGUUAACCGACCGAGUAACCGUCCCGAACUACCAUUAACUGAAUUAAUCCUUUUAAACCCUUAAUUGUUAACUGAACCGAAUUUCUUUUCAAAAAAAAGUAACGAAAUCAAACUUUUUCGGUCAAUUCUGUCAGUUAACCGAAUUAACCGAAAUUUAUAUAUAUUUUUUAUUUUUGGUUAAAGCAAGUAUAAAACAUAUAAAAAAAUUAACCGACUGAUUUAAUUUAUACUUCUAAAAAAUUAACCGAACCGACCGAAUACUUAUGUAUUAUAAUAUUAUUUAUUAAGUUCGGUUAAUUUGGUUAACCGACCGAUUUCGAACCGAAUUAACCGUUAAUUGAACUUCCAAAAAAUUAUUAACCGACCCCGACCGAAUUAAUUCGGUUUUACCCGAAAUUUGCACAUCCAUACUGGUACCUGGACUUUUAAAAAGUUGGUUUUAGUACCUGAACUUUAACUUCGUUUAUCAAUGUGAUACCUCCCUUUAACUGUGUUGAAAUCUAACAUGACUUGACAUGUGGAUCAAUUCAAUGCUGGCACAUGGCACUAUUUGUCAAAAAAAUUAAUUAGUAAAGGUCAUAAGACUUGAAAAUAAUUAUACCAAAAUUUAUUUUAAAGGAAAAAAGAAUAAACAAUAAACAAUACAAUUGACAUGACUAAAUUAAAAUUCAUUACUAAUUGUUAACUAAUUACAUUUUUUUUAUAAAAUCCUAAACUUUCUUGUCUCUUUAACAUUUUCUUUUUCCUCUUUCCGUCGUUGUUGCACUUAUUGUCGUUGUUCAAUGCCUUUCUCGAUAUGAGCUAAGCUCUAUUAAUCAUUCAAAAACUAAUUACAACAAGAAGAGAAUGACCUCAUUUAUAGAACAUAGGUGCUGAUAAUAUCCUAACCAACUAGUACAAAUUUUCUUUUGUUGUAACAGUCUAGCUAACGUGUCAUCCAUCCUUGAGGAUAAGAACCAGCUCACACAAUGAUGAUAAAAUUCAUCCAGCUCAUUUGACAGAAUGUUUGGUUAUUCAUUUAACAUUCACCCUGUUUUUUGACUUGUUUUGAGAAAGCAUACAUAGAGCAUCAUUGCUAGAAACUACUCGUAGCUUAGUUCUUAAUUCAAGGAAAGACUGUUGAAUGAUUGGUUUGGUGAGAGCAUCUGCUAACUGAUGUUUAGCGAGGACCUAACCAACAUGAAACUGGUUAUUAAACACCUUUUCCUCACAAAAUGGAGAUCCAAAUAAACAUGUUUGGUCUUUGAAUGGCGAAUCAGAUUAGUUGCCAUAGUGACAAUGCUUGAAUUAUCACACCAAAUUUUAGGUGGAUCGAGUAAAGUGACACCAAAAUCUUUCAACAAAGACUAAAGCUAGAUGAUUUCAAAUGCAGUGUCAACAAGGCUUUCGUACUCUGCCUCGGUUGUAGAUCUAGAAACAGAUCAUUGUUUUUGGGACCUCCAAUAAAUGAUGUCAGAUUCAAGAAAGACACAGUAACCAGAUAUGAAACGUCGGUCAUCAGCAUCACUACCCUAGUCAGCGUCGUAAUAAGCAGUCAGAGAAAGUAAUUCACUUGGAGAAAACAUAAGUUCGUAGUUUAGAGUUUCAAGUAUCGGGAUUCUUUUUACGGCAAUCCAAUGAGGCUCUCGUGGUUCAUGCAUAUAUUGUGUCACUUUGUUAACACUGAAUGAAAUGUUUGGUCAUGAAUGACAUAGGUAUUGAAGCAAUCCAACUAUGCUUCGAUAGCCUGAAGGAUCAGGAAUGAGUGCUUUAUCAUCUUUGGUUAGUUUGUGUCCCACGAUCAUAGGAGUAGGAACUGGCUGGGAGUCUGUCAUGGCUGCCUUGGUAAGCAGGUCAACAGUAUAUUUUUGUUGAUUAAGGAAAAGUCCCUGGCCAAUUUUUUUUACCUCAAUACCAAGAAAAUAUUGUAAUAAGCCAAGAUCUUUCAAGGUGAAUUGUUGAUAAAGUUGUUGAACAAUCAAAUCAAGCAUUUGUGGCGUGCUUCCAAUGAGUAAUAUAUCAUCAACAUAAACUAUAAUAUAAGUAACAUCCAACCUAUGUUGAAGAAUGAAUAGGAAUGAAUCGACUUUGGAGGAGAUAAAGCCAAGUCUUUGAAGGAAUUGUUGAACCUUGAGAAACCAAUUUCGCGGUGCUUGUUGUAAACAAUAAAUGGCUUUGUUGAGUUUGCAAACGAGAGGAGUCCUAUCCGCCUGAUGUUGCUCGAAACUUGGAGGCUAGAUUAUAUUGUUGGAAAAAUCUCGGUUUGAAAAUAAUUUUCUUGCACAGUGAAAAAUAAAAAUUUUGAAAAUCGACUUGGUUUGUGAUAUUUUUAGCAAUAAACAUUAGCAGAAUUCACACCUGUGUUUUUGAAUAAGCAGAUCCUUGAUGUUUUCCGACUUUCAACCAAACGAUCUUCUCCGCUAUUCUCGUACCACGAACUACUUCGAGUAUGGGCUCGAACCAAAUGAAUCAAAAUACAUAAGUAGAAGAAGUUUUCCUUUAGGGGUGAAAAUGUAAAUUCUCUUUUCUUUAAUAGAAACCGUUAAAAUUGUAAUUAUGAAAAAUAUGCUUAUAAGUUGAGAGUAAAUUCUCUCUAUUUUUUGGCAAAAUAACAAUCUCUAAAAAGUUGUGUUCACAGUUAUAUCGGUGUCAUCUAUUUAUAGGAAGAGAAGGUAGAACCCUUGUAGAUUUGUAAAAGUUUAUUUCCACUAGAAAAAUGAUAUCCUAGUAUAUAAGGAGUGACAACCUUAGUUAAUGAUAUUAGGGUUUUGCCGUCACACCUCUUUACAAGAGGGGUUUUGGGCCUCUCCCACAUCGGGUCCAAUUACGAGUACUUCCUGAGCCUUUUUGACCCAGUACUCUGUAACAUGAUUUAACUUGAUUAAAAUUUUCUAUUUCCCAAAAUAAACUUUAAUACCUACAUAUUAAAUAAUUUUCUCACCCAAAUUUUACUUGAGUAAAAUUUUGACAAUUUUACCCUCUAUAAAAUUUUGAUGAUUUUACCCCUAAUAAAAUUUUGAGAAAUUCGUUCAAUAUGUUACAACUCAACAUGUUCACGAUGACCAAAUGAUUUAUUUUCAUUUUCGGGCUUCAAAACAGUCCAAAAACAUAAACUUAUUCUUUCAUCAUUAUUAAGUAAUCCUAUAUAAGAUUGCAAGUUUCCAUUUCCAUUUCCAAUUUUGGAAACCUACAUUUAUUUCCAAAUGAUUCUAUUUCUCCAUUUCAGAGAAAACCAAAAUCAUUCCUGAAUGUUUCUCAAUUCUCUUUUUUUGUUCAUUCUAUUCAUUUCUAUUCAAACACGCAAUUCAUUUGUAGUUGAUGCUCAAAUGAUUUAUAAUUAAGUUUUAUCUUUUUGCUUAUUAAUUAUAAACCCAUUUAGUCACAAAUGAGUUAUCAAGAAUCAACACUAAAAUAAUCAAUAUACGUGUAGUGUACUGUAAGUAUGACAGGUCAGUUGUAAUAUUUUUAGUGUUACAAUGGAACACCUGAGUGUUCCAAGGAUCGAACCUAAGAGAGUUCUGUGACCAAGCGAUUCUAAUCUAUAGCAUGCAAUUUGGGAGUCUAACUAACUACUCACAAAGUGUCAUAUUACGACAAAUCAUAAUUGAAGGUGAAUUAAACUAAUUAAUUAUCUAAAAACAGAAAAGGACCAAGAUGGAAAUCAUACAAAUUACGAAACUAGCAAAUUCAAAAAUAGACAAGUGUUGGCUGAUUUUCAUAUUCUUGGUUAACCUUUGAAUCAAGGAUCUAAAUCGCUAAUGCUCCUAAAUUGGCUCAAUUUUCCAUUUCGGCCUCAUAUUUACCAAAUUAGGCAAAUUAGUCUAGCUUAUCUCUCGACCUCACCAAACUAACUUGGGACGAUCGAAUUGGUGCUCGAUAAGAUCUCCUCUUGAUCUCAUUGAUCUAAAUUUUUCCUUAGGGCCAUCAAUCCUAAGUUUUGAAUUCUAUUCGAUUUAGUCUUUAAACUUAAAAAUCAACUACCUAACAUUUCCAUCAACCAACCACCUAAGAUUUAACCAUCCAUACUCACCUCUAAACACACAAACAAUAAAUAUUCAAAUGAAAAGUGCAGUAACUUAAAUUCAAAGAAAGGUGAAUAAAACUUAAGCUUUCUUGAAAAAGCUUGGAGAACACAACAAUGGCGACAAGGUAGUUGAAUAAAAAUAUCAAAGAUAUGAUUUUUAACAAGUGAAAUGAAAUAAAGCUGAAUGAUAUUAAACCAAAGAAUUAAAGUGUAAAUAAAAGGGAAGCUAAUGAGAUUUUACCACGUCUUAUUUACUUUUUAAAAUUUUUUUAAAUACAAUUUAAGAACACAUGAUAAAAUCUCAACUUUUCACAACUAAUGUAACAAAUAAUUAUAUCCUAUAUAUAAAUUUUUAGUAGAACAAGAAUACUUGUACCAAUUCUAAUUUGGAAAUAGGGUCUUGCAACCUAUGUUUAGCAAUGCUACAAAACAUACUGACUGAAUAAAUCUCAAAUAUAACCCAACAAACAGCCUGAGCCAAUGGUUGUGGAGAUAUUUAAGACCACCAUGGAGCAUCACCGGUUCUGAAAUCUGUUUCCACCCAUGGAACAAAUACUACCUUCCCGUCUUCAACACCAGCGUGUGCCAAUGCCAACGACUGUUCGAUCACACAAUAAAGUUGCCCAUUAACUCAUUAUUAUAAACAAUUAGAUUAUAUAUAUAUACAUAUAUAAAAGAAACUAUAACAAAAUGAUACAAAAACAUACUCUGAGCACAAAAAAUUUGGAUGCCUAAACUUUUAAAUACAAUACUAAAUGCAUAUGUGUUUGUUUGGCAAUGAAUCAUGAGGGAUUUACCUAUUCUAAGAUUCUUUAAUAAAGAAGAGCAUUUACAUUAUAUUUCCAAGUGGUUAAUGGCCUGAUGAGAUUUUCCUAAUGUUGAUGAGUGAAACAACCAAAAAUGUAUAACUUAGCUGUCAAUCAGACUCACCAAGGGGGCAGGUCCUCUCACAACUCUACCUUGAUCGUUGUAUUGGGAUCCAUGGCAGGGGCAUAUGAACUUGUUCUCGGCUUGAUUCCACGGAACAACACACCCAAGGUGUGUGCACACAGCAUUUAUACCAUAUGUUGCAAGAGUUCUGUCUUUCUCUACCACUAGGUAGGUUGGGUCUCCCUGAAAAUAAACAAAAUCCAUUUUUAAUAUCAACUUUCAUAAUGCAGUUACUGCUACUGCUCUCGUUAAUGCCUUCUCAUGCCUAACAUUAGCAAGAGACAAAUAACCUAAACAUAAAAAAAGAUUGAGCUCAACCAAUGGCAAGCAUAGCUCAUAAGUCACUGUUGACCGCCAAAACUUUGCAUUGUAAGAACUUACAUGGCAAACAAUUUCCUAGAGGAAACCAGAGCUCUUCGAGAUUUCAUGUUGAAUGCUAUUAGGAUGGUCUGAAACAUUCAAUUAGAACAAACUGUAAUUAACACCAUGUGUACUUACCU
rnacentral:lncRNA from 1 species